rnacentral:rRNA from 1 species
GAUGAACGCUGGCGGCGUGCCUAAUACAUGCAAGUCGAGCGAACGGACGAGAAGCUUGCUUCUCUGAUGUUAGCGGCGGACGGGUGAGUAACACGUGGAUAACCUACCUAUAAGACUGGGAUAACUUCGGGAAACCGGAGCUAAUACCGGAUGAUAUUUUGAACCGCAUGGUUCAAAAGUGAAAGACGGUCUUGCUGUCACUUAUAGAUGGAUCCGCGCUGCAUUAGCUAGUUGGUAAGGUAACGGCUUACCAAGGCAACGAUGCAUAGCCGACCUGAGAGGGUGAUCGGCCACACUGGAACUGAGACACGGUCCAGACUCCUACGGGAGGCAGCAGUAGGGAAUCUUCGGCAAUGGGCGAAAGCCUGACGGAGCAACGCCGCGUGAGUGAUGAAGGUCUUCGGAUCGUAAAACUCUGUUAUUAGGGAAGAACAUAUGUGUAAGUAACUGUGCACAUCUUGACGGUACCUAAUCAGAAAGCAACGGCUAACUACGUG